UACGAAGGGGGCUAGCGUUGUUCGGAAUUACUGGGCGUAAAGCGCACGUAGGCGGCCUCAUAAGUCGGAUGUGAAAUCCCUCGGCUCAACCGAGGACGUGCAUCCGAAACUGUGAAGCUCGAGUAUGGAAGAGGGUCGCGGAAUUCCCGGUGUAGAGGUGAAAUUCGUAGAUAUCGGGAGGAACACCAGUGGCGAAGGCGGUGACCUGGGCCAAUACUGACGCUGAGGUGCGAAAGCCAGGGGAGCGAAUGGG
rnacentral:rRNA from 1 species